AGCUGUGUUUAUCACCUCCAUGUUUCUUCUCAUGACUUCUCCUCUGAGAGCCGUCGGCUGUCUCUCACUGUCUCAGAUCCAACAGGUCUUCUCAUCAAAGUGGUCGUCCUGCCGCUGACUCUGCUGUUGGUGAUCGCUGCCCUUUGUUUCUACUAUAAGGCCAGCAGGGGGCAGAAGCCGGGCAGGCAGGAGAACAUUGAGCUGGAUUAUUAUAACGUGGGUGUUUCUGCAGCUGAAGAGGAAGGAGCUCAGGGAGCAGAGUAGGACCUCCAAGAAGCUCAUCUCAGCUGCCUCACAACCCACCAUCAGCUCAGUCAAGGAUUUUACACUUUUAUACUGAUGUUCCCUUUAAAGAUAUUGUGUUGUGAUAAAUCUUACCACCUUCUAUGUUGUUGUUUUUUUUAAUUUGUACUGAAAAUGUCAUGUCUUCCCACCCUCUGUUGAACCAUGGUUGGCAUUGUCAAGGAAAUUAUGUUCCUGGUAAGGGAUUAAACAUAUAAUUGAGUUACAACCAA